rnacentral:rRNA from 1 species
UACGGAAGGCAGCAGGUGGGGAAUAUUGCACAAUGGGCGAAAGCCUGAUGCAGCUAUGCCGCGUGUAUGAAGAAGGCCUUAGGGUUGUAAAGUACUUUCAUCGGGGAAGGAAAAAACAAAACUAAUAAUUUUAUUUCUUGACGUUACCCGAAAAAGAAGCACCGGCUAACUCCGUGCCAGCAGCCGCGGUAAUACGGAGGGUGCUAGCGUUAAUCAGAAUUACUGGGCGUAAAGAGCACGUAGGUGGUUUUUUAAGUCAGAUGUGAAAUCCCUGGGCUUAACCUAGGAACUGCAUUUUGAAACUGAAAUACUAGAGUAUCGUAGAGGGAGGUAGAAUUCUAGGUGUAGCGGUGAAAUGCGUAGAUAUCUGGAGGAAUACCUGUGGCGAAAGCGGCCUCCUAAACCGAAUACUGACACUGAGGUGCGAAAGCUGGGGAGCAAACAGGGAUUAGAUACC